UUGGGUUUUAUUUUCCUCCAGAUUCUGUUUUCAGGGAGGAAGUUCCAGCACAACCUGAUCCAGGUUGCCAACGCUUUGUGGCCUGGUUGAGGAGGCAGCAGCGCAGCGCACUGUAAAACCCAUUGAUGAAACUUUUCAUUUCUCUUUACGCCGUGAUGGUGGCGCUGCAGAGGCCUAACGGGUCGGGCCAGAACCACAUGCUGAGACGUGAACAGGAUUCGGUUUGGAAACCCGAAGACGAUCCUACAAAACAUCCGAACAUUUGGACCGACCCGGGUUCUGCUGCAGGACGGUGAUCAGCUCUGACAGGAGAAGAGCUGGCCGACUGUCUCAUGACAGACAAGGAUAAUAAAGAAAUCCAUCUUCAUCUUUCUCCCCGCUAAGAAUAACUGCUGGAAGAGAUGAAAGAUGAAAAAUACUCGUCUUGAUACAAACUCCUUCAGCAGAGAGAAAAUCUUCAUUUAUCAGUGAAAUAUGUGACAAAAGCCAGAACAAGUGUCGCCUCGGGAUGUUUGGAGUUGAUUCAGAGGAUUCUCAUCUUUCUAAAGAUGUCAAACACAUGAAGAUGUGACAAAUGUGAAGAAGAAAAGAUGUGAACAAACAAACGCCGCAGAGAAAAUCCACGGCAGAGAAUCAGCUGCACCAGAGACUCCAACACACCAUCAGCUACGGGCAGCAACAUGAAAAUCCUCAUGAACUACUCUCCAGAUUCCCACCAGAGGUUCCCAAAGUGGGGGCCGGGGCCUCCAAAGGGACACCAAGUCAGGGCGGAGGGAUCGAACAUUGAUGGU